GUUCGAUGAAGCUGAUAGAUAUGUGGUGUGGUUGCUAGUGCGCGUUCAAGGGGAGACAAACUUUCACUGUGGACAAGAAAUGCUGCGAAUGAGGCUGUGCAGCCAAAUGAUAUUAUAGCAGCUGAAUCUGAGGGAGCUAUGGCAAUAGGAGUUUGCACUGGUGUUUUCGGAAAGGAAGAGCUGGAGCAAGUCAGCAAUGGAGGUUGCAUAUUUGCUGAUCAAGUUCGUGAUUCUGAGAUGAUCAAGUUCGUGAUCAUGUCAGUGUUAUGCUGCUGAGGAAGCUGGUGAGGAAAAAUGGUUUGUCGACGUGCCGUUGUUAUUGGUCCAAGUUCAAUCUGCUUGAGAAAGUGACAACCAGAGAAUGCAGGCCAAGAAUGUUCAAAUUGGGCGAAGCUGUUUUCUUCAUUUGUAGGGUUAUUGCAGCUGCCGUUUUCUUGAAUACUGUAGGAAGUAUGCCCUGCCGAAGUUUGAUCAUUCUCAGCUUCUUCUUCCCAUCUUUUAUCCAAUUCUGGAAGCAGCAGUUCUGGGAGCAGCAGUUCUGACAGCAGCAGGUGUGAUCUGUUCAUUUUAGUUGUUAUUCUGUUCUAUUUCGUUU